AUGAAUGCUUCUCGUCGUGGUCGCUGCCGUGUGGAGGCUGCUCCUGCUCCCCUGCUCCUUGCGUCGUCGUGGCCGCCGCUGCUGCCGGUGGAGCACGGGAUGCUGCUGGCCAUCAGCCCACCCCCGGUAAAUCUUGUGGACGACAUGCAUGGGAGUCUUGGGAGUAGCAUCCUCCUCGCCGCACGGGCCUCCUACUCACUGCACGGGCCUCCUCCUUGCCAGAGUGACGCCCCUCGCCGGAGUAGCGCCAGCCAAGCCCAUCGGCCACCAGGUGCGUCCUUGGAUCAGUUUCCCACAGGCAGCAUGUUGUUCCUACUCCUCUACUUACUACAGCAGCACAAUGUUCUUCUGUAUUGCAAUAGAGUAGGAGUAUUUGCUAGAGUAGCUAGGACAUACAACUAUGGUUAA
rnacentral:rRNA from 1 species